UUUGACCUCGGAUCAGGNAGGGAUACCCGCUGAACUUAAGCAUAUCAAUAA
rnacentral:rRNA from 1 species